rnacentral:rRNA from 1 species
CUCCUACGGGAGGCAGCAGUGGGGAAUAUUGGACAAUGGGGGGAACCCUGAUCCAGCCAUGCCGCGUGUGUGAAGAAGGCCUUAUGGUUGUAAAGCACUUUAAGCGAGGAGGAGGCUACUUUAGUUAAUACCUAGAGAUAGUGGACGUUACUCGCAGAAUAAGCACCGGCUAACUCUGUGCCAGCAGCCGCGGUAAUACAGAGGGUGCAAGCGUUAAUCGGAUUUACUGGGCGUAAAGCGCGCGUAGGCGGCUAAUUAAGUCAAAUGUGAAAUCCCCGAGCUUAACUUGGGAAUUGCAUUCGAUACUGGUUAGCUAGAGUGUGGGAGAGGAUGGUAGAAUUCCAGGUGUAGCGGUGAAAUGCGUAGAGAUCUGGAGGAAUACCGAUGGCGAAGGCAGCCAUCUGGCCUAACACUGACGCUGAGGUGCGAAAGCAUGGGGAGCAAACAGGAUUAGAUACCCUGGUAGUCCAUGCCGUAAACGAUGUCUACUAGCCGUUGGGGCCUUUGAGGCUUUAGUGGCGCAGCUAACGCGAUAAGUAGACCGCCUGGGGAGUACGGUCGCAAGACUAAAACUCAAAUGAAUUGACGGGGGCCCGCACAAGCGGUGGAGCAUGUGGCUUAAUUCGAUGCAACGCGAAGAACCUUACCUGGUCUUGACAUAGUGAGAAUCCUGCAGAGAUGCGGGAGUGCCUUCGGGAAUUCACAUACAGGUGCUGCAUGGCUGUCGUCAGCUCGUGUCGUGAGAUGUUGGGUUAAGUCCCGCAACGAGCGCAACCCUUUUCCUUAUUUGCCAGCGGGUUAAGCCGGGAACUUUAAGGAUACUGCCAGUGACAAACUGGAGGAAGGCGGGGACGACGUCAAGUCAUCAUGGCCCUUACGACCAGGGCUACACACGUGCUACAAUGGUAGGUACAGAGGGUUGCUACACAGCGAUGUGAUGCUAAUCUCAAAAAGCCUAUCGUAGUCCGGAUUGGAGUCUGCAACUCGACUCCAUGAAGUCGGAAUCGCUAGUAAUCGCAGAUCAGAAUGCUGCGGUGAAUACGUUCCCGGGCCUUGUACACACCGCCCGU